AACACGUUCCUUAGAUCCACCUCUAGGGAUUUCCUCUGGUCUGGUACUGUUCUCUCUUUGGGAGCAGCAGGAUCAGGCCGGAGGUUUCCCAGCAGCUUUUGCGGCUGUACAGUUGGAGGUGCUUGAGUCAUUGACGUGUGAGAUCAGUCUACCUGCUUACCCAGCAUCCUCUCUGCCCUGAUCCUUCACAGGACGACACCAGGGCAGAACAGCUGGGGAGCGGACAAA